AAAAAGAAUUCACAGGGAUGUUUUCAGUAAAGAUUCUUUCUGUGCUCUGAUAGGUGGGCAGCAAACUGACCACAUACAGCAUUCCAGACUGCAAAUCAGAAUGGAAUACAUACAGUUGAUGCUAAGUGUGUGCCUGCAUUGUUCUCCACUUUACAUAUUGAAGCAAGGCCCACUGCUUGCUCUUUUAGCUAAUCUAGCUGGCCAGCUUGUUUGGGUAAUUUCCUGUCUUUUCUGUCCUGGGUGACUCUCAUGAGCCCCUGUGGCUGGGGAUGGAACUCUGAUCGAACGAUUGCUCAGAAUGCCUGAGGCCCUAGGUUCUAUGCACAACAGUGAAAAAAUAAGACCUGGAAAUAGCCCUGUCCUCCAUCCCUUGUCUCCUAAACCCUCUAGUUUAGCAUCUUCAGUCUUCUCACUGUGUCCCCCCAGACAGUCCUAACAGUGAGCCCCCCCCAGGAGAUCCAGGAAGACCUUUUAAGUUUCUGUGACAGUACCUAUAGUAAUACAAGCAUGUGCCAGCAAUGAUGUCACCAACCAGGUAUUCUUGCUAAAAUCCUGUAAGCAGGAUGAUGGUGAAAGAGUACAGAAGUUGCAUAGAUUGAAAUAUGCGCUUCUGUCAUGGGAAAAGGCAGUAUGUUCUAAAUCAAAGACCAGAGAGAUGGUAACUUUGGGAAACAUGGAGCUGGGAAGCACUAGGAAGAAGACAUUUGGGGUAACUAAGCUGUAUGUAUGGGAUAAGACAAAGUUAAAUUUCUUAAGUACAGCAGUUAAGAAUAUCUAUACUGCCUGCAAAUAAAUACUUAGGAGUGAAGCACAUCAGAAGCUGACUUUAAAAUUAUUCUGGGCAAAAAAAAUCAAAAUGCUAAUUGCUGACAAGUUAGGGUCUAGUUAGGGUGAGUCUUUGAGUUCACAGCACCAUUCUUUCAAUUGUCAAAUUUGUGAAAAGAUGGGAGAAAGCUUCAGUGUACAUUUGAAAAGGACUAUACUAAGGACUUAGAGUUGGAUGUCCGCCUAAGUGUGCAUCAUCACACCUAUGAUCUCAAGCACUGUGAGUCUGAGGCUUGUCUAAAACAAAAACUCUCAAAAGCUAACAGCGAACACUGGGUGGGGUUGGUUGAACAGAAACAAAUCUGUAGAGUAGGAAAAGUUGCUAUUUUAAGCAAAAAUAAAAUGCAUGCUUAUAAUCCCAGUGUUUCGGAGAUUGGGGUGAGGGGAUUGGAAAUUCAAUUGGCUACUACUUACUAAGUUCAAGGCCAGCCUGGGGGCUACAAUGCAGUUGUCUCAAAAACUGAAGUGAAGAUAAGCAGCAUGACCCUACUUCUAUAAAACAUACCAAAGUGAAAAAAAGAGGUACCAAAGUGUGAAUAAGUAAUGAUCACUACCAAGACACAACAGAGAGAUGUAUGGUUAACAAGUACAUUUUUAAAUGUUAGUAACUCAGGAAUGAAAGCAGCAUUGUAAUGGGAAUUCAUUCCCUUUACAACUGACAUGCUCCAGCCAAGGCUGAGGAGUAAGUGCUACAGCAGCCGCACAGGAAAGGUAGGACACAAAACAUAGCAGGAGCAGGAGUAACUGCAAAUUCAAGUGGAUGCCCCAUGUAGCACACACCUCAGCUACCUAAGAAGUUCAAAGUCAACUAGGGCCAUGAGACCCUGUCUCAAAAAUAGAAUAUAGAAUGAAAAUAAAUGGGCAAUUAGCCUGUGACUCAGGAAACCUGUAGUGCACAGCCUACAUGGUCACCUGCACUUAAACAGGUGGCGGCAAGCAGUUAAGAGGUGGCUAUGGUCCGUCUAUCAAAGGACCUUACAGUCUAAGUCUGUUGGCCACUGGGAUUUUCUGCAGGACAGAACCAUAUGGACACCCAGGAUAGAGUAAAGAGGAUGAACCUGAUUGAUGGUUACAAAAAGAAAAAAGGAAAACAGGUUUGGAGAUUGGAAUAAAGUAAUGGAUGAAGGUUCUCUGAGUAACUUA